rnacentral:lncRNA from 1 species
UUUCUCUCCAGUAUCUAUAUAUCUAGGCCCAUUAAAGGCCUGUUCCAUGGAAACUAUGUGCUGUGCGUUGCUAGGCAGGAAAGACGGAGGGAAAUGACUGUGGUCGGACUGUGGUUGGAGAGAAAGAUGGAGAGAGCGAGAGAGAGAGCGAGAGACAUAAGAGAGAGAGAGAGAGACAUAGGAGAGAGAGAGAGAGAGACAUAGGAGAGAGAGAGACAUAGGAGAGAGAGAGAGAGACAUAGGAGAGAGAGAGAGAGAGACAUAGGAGAGAGAGAGAGAGAGAGAGAGACAUAGGAGAGAGAGAGAAAGAGAGAGAGAGACACAUAAGAGAGAGAGAGAGAGAGACAUAGGAGAGAGAGAGAGAGAGAGAGAGAGAGAGACAUAGGAGAGAGAGAGAAGAGAGAGACAAUAGAGACACAUAGGAGAGAGAGACAAUAGAGACACAUAGGAGAGAGAGAGAGAGAAGAGAGACACAUAGGAGAGAGAGGAGAGAGAGACAAUAGAGACACAUAGGAGAGAGAGGAGAGAGAGACAAUAGAGACACAUAGGAGAGAGAGGAGAGAGAGACAAUAGAGACACAUAGGAGAGAGAGGAGAGAGAGACAAUAGAGACACAUAGGAGAGAGAGGAGAGAGAGGAGAGAGACAUAGGAGAGAGAGGUAGAGAGAGGAGAGAGACAUAGGAGAGAGAGGUAGAGAGAGAGACACAGGAGAGAGAAGAGAGAGGACGAGGGCAGAUUAUGCUGCUUGUACUGUCUUAGAAAAAAUGGUUAAAAAAAGCUUUUUCAAUUGUCCCCAUAGGGUUCCAGGUAGAACCCUUUUGAAUUCCAUGUAGAACCCUCUGUGAUGUUCUAGAUAACACAUUUUUUUGCUAAGUGUAGCCUCAAAGCCGGCAGCAUGUUGUCCUUCUUCCUUUUUCUCUGCUGCUCUAAAAGUCUUUCUACCAUUUUCUCUUUAUAUGUCUCCCUCUCCUCCCACACUUUCCCUCCAUUUUCACCACUUCCUGUUAAAAAAGGAAGAAAAAAAACUCAGAGAAAGAGCCCCCUCCUCUCUCUCUCUUUGGUUCAGCGGGC